CAAGAAACUGGCCGUAAAAUGGUGAUGGCAAUGGAACCUGCUGUCCCUCACCGCCGUCCUACGAAUAUGUAUACUAUGCAUACUACCGCUGCUAGUUGAGUGCUAUACGAGUGUGCUCUAUAGCUUCGAUUCCAAGAACGCUGGAUGACCACGGAAAUUUUUUUUUUUUUUUUUUUUUCAAAAUGGCCAGAGUUGCUCGAAGACUGCCGUAUCCUAGCCAAGAUGAGACCCCUACUCGGCGAUGAAUUCUGCCUUCACCCAACGAAGCGCUGAUUUCGCUUCAUCGUAGUUCUCAUGCCUUUCCCCGGCGAGAGCCUCCCUAGUCGCUGCUCAAUCGUCUUCAUGGUUCUGAACUUCAGCGGGAACUGAGGAAUGCCAGCAUUUGCCCACACAGCCCGAAGAUCCAGCAGAAAGGCACAAAAAUGGGCCUCGCCCAGUUCAAAUAUCCGGCGGGAAAGACGGGG
rnacentral:sRNA from 1 species